rnacentral:tRNA from 1 species
UCAAAGCUAGAACUCAGUUGGUAGAGCAUGAGACUUUUAAUCUCAGGGUUGUGGGUUUGAGCCCCAGGUUGGGUGAA